UUACCGUGAAAUUAGAAGCAUAAUAUAAAAAAAUUAAUAAAAAUCCUAUUUGAAAAAAUUGUCGUGAUAUGCUUGAAAAUUUAAUUUUAUAUUAAGAUCAUGGAAAAAGUAUUAGUCAUAAUAUAUUCAUAAUUCGAACGACAUUCAAAGCAUCUUUGUUCUCUCGAAACACUACAAUAAAAAUAUUAACUAUCGAUCUACCCGUUAAUGCAAACAACAAUAGAAAACAGUAUUCGAUGACACCAUCAGCAGCACGUUGUUAAAAAGUCAGUUAAUGAAAUAGUUAAUUGAAUUGCAAGUCAAAUUAAAUGUUUGCCUGCAGCAGUAAUUAUCAAUAGUUGAUUAUGUGGAAAUAGUAUUUACACAAUUGCCGCCUUAUAAGUAGGAGACGAAUUCCAGUUGAUAGCUGAUUACCAUACGACGAUGAUGAUGAUGAUGAUGCAAGCGUGUGUUGAACUCCAACUAGCUCAAGUGACAAGCCAUGAAAUUAAUUUUAAUUUCAUUAUUAGAGACAGAAGUGUGCACUAUCUGGGAAGCCGAUUGAUUUAUGUAUUUGUUUAUAAAUUAUGUAAAUGUGUUUCUAAAGAAGCACGUAUAAAAAUAUUGAAUAAUAUUUAGUCAGUUCGGCAAACUGUUAAUGAGCUAACGACAAAAUUUCAUGCCUCAUGACUUUUGGCAGUAAUAUUUAUUCUAUUUGGUAUAAAUUGUCACGGCCCUCGAGGCCAAGGCGUAGAUACAAAUUAGCCUCAACUUAUUGGAGCUGAGAACUGAGCCGGUUUGAACUCGCCGUCGUCUCAUAUCGUAUUUUUGGUAUCAAUGAUUUCAUAAACAAGUUUUGCCUGCGGACUUCACGGCUUUUAAUUAUGCGUUAGACAAAAAAUAAUUCUGCACAUACACGUAGAUAUCUCUCAUUGCCCAAAGAUACGUACAUAAAAGUUUAAAUGAAUGCCUGCAAUUAUUUAUGCGUCACACCCAAUCGAUUUCUAUCCUAGGAUAGCCUCCCAAGAGCCGGUGCCCGAGGCGUCUCUAAUCUACAAUUUACAAUCUACAAUGUCCAAUCUCAGUGUUCGAGUUGAGAUCAAUGAAAAUGUUUUAUUGAUGUGUUGUAGCUAAUGUAAUUUUGUAUUGUUUAAAUUAUUGCCGCCUUGGUUGGAAAUCAUUAUUUUUUAUGUGCCAGCUUGACCGCCGGCGUUGCUCAGUUGCUCAGUCGAUCGUUUACUCAACUGCUCAGUUGUUUUUGUUUUUUUUUUAACGAUUGUCAUUUGUAUUUUAUAUUUUUUCACGUUCAUUACAAGUGGUUUUUUCAGAGACCCCGCUGAGUGUCGAACUACUGUGUCGGUAGUAAGUGAAUAAGAGAGUUUUUAACAGAACUUCUGAGCUGAUCUCUGCCACUUAGCAGUAUUUCCGGAUUGUCUUCUAUAUAAAUACUUAGCAUAUAAUAAACUCACUCUCUAUCAAUUAAACAACUUUGGUUUACCUGCAGUUCAAACGAACUAAGAACAACUGAUUAAUUUCUUAGGAAUCUUAUGAAUAAACCUUGACUCUUUCUGUCGCUUAUCAUCAAUUACUUAAUCAGUAAGAGUAUUCUGCAGUCGGAUAAUCCUCACUGCGGUAAUCUGCUUUGCGAGACAGAAUCUUGUGCUGAGUAAAUAUAUAUAUAUAUGAGUAAGUACUCUAAAUAUAUGUACAUAAACAUAUUCAAGGCAGUUGAUGAUAUUAUUUUGUUUACUUCAUUAAUAAACGCACUGAAUAAUCUAGGCCAACUCGACUAUUGAAUACCCUGCAAGUCGAAUUAAUAUUCCAAAUUCUAAGAAACUUAUCUUCUAAGAGUAUAUUAUGCUACAGAGUAUUUACAAAUUGUAUAAGUUCUCCCUCUUUGUAUUCUAUUUUUUUGACAAAUUACGUCUUAUCUUCGGAGCAGCAGCUUUUGUUGAGCUAUUUAUUAUUAUGCACACGGCAGAUAAGAUGACAGUCAGAGAAUUCCAGCAGCAACCGAAGCAUCUUCAAAUCAGAGCAAAUCAUAAAAACCAAGACCCAAGAUGAACAACAAAAUAUUCACAUGUGCAGCUUUACUUUUGGCACUCACUGUGGCUGAGUCCCACGCCAAUUUGUGGGACGAUAUUACCGAUAAAUUUGACGACAUGGUUGAUUACAUAAAAGACUUAUUCUCUUAGACAAAUUACAAACAGUGCCAAACAUUAACGAAAACAAAUCAAAAACAUGUAAACAAUAAACAAAUAAAGUGAACUACAAUCGUU